GACGAACGCUGGCGGCGUGCUUAACACAUGCCAGUCGAACGGGCCCGCUCUCUUUUUUGGGGGUGGGUUGAGUGGCGAACGGGUGAGUAUCACGUGAGUAACCUGCCCCCUGCUCCUGGAUAACUGCUUGAAAGGGCGGCUAAUACGGGGUGUGCCGGCUGGUCCGCAUGGGCCUGGUCGGGAUAGUUUCAUCUUCGGGUGUUUCGGUGGGGGAUGGGCUCGCGGCCUAUCAGCUUGUUGGUGGGGUGAUGGCCCACCAAGGCGGUGACGGGUAGCCGGCCUGAGAGGGUGGGCGGCCACACUGGGACUGAGACACGGCCCAGACUCCUGCGGGAGGCAGCAGUGGGGGGUAUUGCACAAUGGACGGAAGCCUGAUGCAGCGACGUCGCGUGAGGGAUGGAGGCCUUCGGGUUGUGAACCUCUUUCUCCGGUGGUGAAGGCCCUGUCCGUUGCGGCGGGGUUGACGGUAGCCGGGUAUGAAGCGCCGGCUAACUACGUG
rnacentral:rRNA from 1 species